UUUGCCAUCAUCAGUAGUGAAGAUUGUGUCAAUCCCUUUUUUCUAUGAUUUUC
rnacentral:rRNA from 1 species